rnacentral:rRNA from 1 species
AGAGCGUAGGGAGAAUGCCUUGGCAUUAGGAGCCGACGAAGGACGUGAUAAGCUGCGAUAAGCUGCGGGGAUCAGCAAGUAUGAAUUGAUCCGCAGAUUUCCGAAUGGAGCAAUCCGUAUGUGUAUGCACAUACAUCAUAUACUGAAUCAAAUAGGUAUAUGAGGGGAACCGCCUGAACUGAAACAUCUAAGUAGGGCGAGGAAGAGAAAUCAACCGAGAUUCUGUGAGUAGUGGCGAGCGAAAGCGGAAGAGGCUAAACCAUAGGUAGCAAUACUUAUGGGGUUUCGGACAGCAUUUAGUAUUGAUAAUUUCUAGUUGAAACGUGUGGGAAAACGUACCGAAGAGUGUGAGAGUCACGUAAGCGAAAGAGAGAGUCAGCGAGCUGUAUCCGAAGUACCGCGGGACACGUGAAACCCCGUGGGAAGAUGGGGGGACCAUCCUCCAAGCCUAAAUACUACCUAAUGACCGAUAGCGAAUAGUACUGUGAAGGAACGGUGAAAAGAACCCCGGGAGGGGAGUGAAAAAGAACCUGAAACCCUAUGCUUACAAGCACCGAGAGCACGUCAAAGUGUGAUCGGGUACCUUUUGUAGAAUGGUCCGGCGAGUUAUUGUAUGCGGCAAGGUUAAGUGCUUAAGGCACGGAGCCGAAGCGAGAGCAAGUCUGAAUAGGGCGAAUAAGUCGUAUGCAAUAGACCCGAAACCGAGUGACCUAUCCAUGUCCAGGCUGAAGUGGAGGUAAAACUCCAUGGAGGGCCGAACACACGUCCGUUGAAAAGGCCGGUGAUGAGGUGUGGAUAGCGGAGAAAUUCCAAUCGAACUCGGAUAUAGCUGGUUCUCUCCGAAAUAGCUUUAGGGCUAGCCUCGUGAAAGAUUACUGGAGGUAAAGCACUGAAUGGGCUAGGGGUCGAAAGAUUACUGAACCCUAUCAAACUAAGAAUGCCAGAUAAUUGAUUCACGGGAGUCAGACAAUGUGAGAUAAGUCUCAUUGUCAAAAGGGAAACAGCCCAGACCCACAGCUAAGGUCCCUAAACAUUGUUAAGUGGAAAAGGAUGUGGGGUUGCAUAAACAACCAGGAUGUUGGCUUAGAAGCAGCCACUCAUUAAAAGAGUGCGUAAUAGCUCACUGGUCGAGUGACCCUGCGCCGAAAAUUCAACGGGGCUAAACAAUGUACCGAAGCUUGGGAUUCUAGAUUUAUCUAGAGUGGUAGGAGAGCGUCGAAUAAGGGGUGAAGUCAGAGCGGAAGCGCUGGUGGACUUUAUUCGAGUGAGAAUGCCGGAAUGAGUAGCGAGAAUUAUGUGAGAAUCAUAAUGGCCGAAAAUCUAAGGUUUCCUGAGGAAGGUUCGUCCGCUCAGGGUAAGCCGGGGGCUAAGGCGAGGCGGAGACGCGUAGCCGAUGCACAUACGGUUGAAAUUCCGUAGCCACCGAAAGAUUUAAAUACAGGGACGCUUUAGAAGUGAUGUUGCCGGGCGAUGGUUGACCCGGUCGUAAGGGAUCGAAAAUGAGUAGAGAAGUCAUCAUGGAAAGAGACAAGAAAAGCUGUAUGAAUAUCUUAGGUGCCCGUACCGCAAACCGACACAGGUAGAUAGGAAGAAGAUUCUAAGGCCAACGGGAGAAGGGUUGUUAAGGAACUCGGCAAGUUGACCCCGUAACUUAGGGAUAAGGGGUGCUCAAGUGAUUGAGCCGCAGAGAAUAGGCCCAGGCGACUGUUUAGCAAAAACACAGGUCUCUGCUAAAUCGAAAGAUGACGUAUAGGGGCUGACACCUGCCCGGUGCCGGAAGGUUAAGAGGAGAUGUGAGAGCAUUGAAUUGAAGCCCCGGUAAACGGCGGCCGUAACUAUAACGGUCCUAAGGUAGCGAAAUUCCUUGUCAGGUAAGUUCUGACCCGCACGAAAGGUGUAACGAUCUGGGCACUGUCUCAACAACCCGCCCGGCGAAAUUGUAGUACCGGUGAAGAUGCCGGUUACCCGCGACUAGACGGAAAGACCCCAUGGAGCUUUACUGUAGCCUAAUAUUGGAUUUCGGUAUUUCACGUACAGGAUAGGUGGGAGACUGGGAAGCACAGGCGUCAGCUUGUGUGGAGUCGACCUUGGGAUACCACUCUUGGAGUGCUGGAAUUCUAACCUGCGGCUUUGAAGCAAGUCGGGGGACAUUGUUAGGUGGGCAGUUUGACUGGGGCGGUCGCCUCCUAAAGAGUAACGGAGGCGCUCAAAGGUUCGUUCAGCACGGACGGAAAUCGUGCAU